rnacentral:lncRNA from 1 species
UAGCCAUAAAUUCUUUGCUAAUUCUCUCAUUUGAAACAUGGGUCUAAUUCUCCUCCCUUUGAAUUCAGGCUUGCCUUAAUGACUUGCAUCACCAAUAGAACAUGGCAGAAGUGAUGUUCUGGGACUUCUGAAGCCAAGUAGCAAGAAGCAUUGCAGGUUCCAUUGGGGUUUCUUAAAAUUCUUAUUCCAGGAAUGCUCCCUCUUAGAACCUGGCCUUCUUGCUUUGAACAGUCUGAGGCACAUGAAGAGGCCACAUGUAGGCACGUCAGUCAACAGCUACAGCAGAGGUCCCAGGUGACAGCAUCAACUGCUAGUCACAAUAGUGAGCCAAUUUGGACAUCCAGCCCAGAAGAGAAUUCAGAUGACCACAGCUCCAGCCAACAUUUGAUUACAACUACAUGAGAAACUCCAUAUGGGAACCACCCAGCUGAGCCCAGUCAAUCCAAAGGACCAUGAAACAGGAGAUGCCUGGGUGGAAAUGCUCUUCCUCUCCAGCCAAAUACUGUCAUAUCCAUACAUGAUGUUGGAACCAUCGUCUUGGGACCACAAGGACAAGCUUAGGACCAAGCCAUUAUGCUGAGGAAGGCUGAGCAGACACAAGGAAAAAGAGUCUGGGUCUCCGAUGACAUCCUUGAG